rnacentral:rRNA from 1 species
CCCUUAGAUGUUCUGGGCCGCACACGCGCUACACUGGCAGGUUCAUCGAGCUUCAUGCCCUGAUCUGAGAAGAACGGGAAAUCUUUGAACACCUGCCGUGCUUGGGAUAGAUGUUUGCAAUUAUUCAUCUUCAACGAGGAUUGCCUUGUAAGCGCACGUCAUCAGCGUGCAUUGAAUACGACCCUGUAUUCUGUACACACCGCCCGUCGCUCCUACCGAUUGAAGUUUUCGGUGAAUUUACUGGAGAUCCCUUUUGAAGGUGGUUCGCCACUGGAAGAAGUAUUCAAAAGUAAAUGAAUCGAAUGCUUUAGAGGAAGGAUAAGUCGUAACA